rnacentral:rRNA from 1 species
AGCGAACGCUGGCGGCAGGCUUAACACAUGCAAGUCGAACGGAUCCUUCGGGAUUAGUGGCGGACGGGUGAGUAACACGUGGGAACGUGCCUUUUGGUUCGGAACAACACAGGGAAACUUGUGCUAAUACCGGAUGUGCCCUUCGGGGAAAGGAUUAUCGCCAUUAGAGCGGCCCGCCGUCUGAUUAGCUAGUUGGUGAGGUAAAGGACUCACCAAGGCUACGAUCAGUAGCUGGCUGAGAGGA